rnacentral:rRNA from 1 species
AGCUCCAAUAGCGUAUAUUAAAGUUGUUGCAGUUAAAAAGCUCGUAGUUGGAUUUCUGGCAGGAGUGACCGACCACACACACCGUGUGUGAGUUGUGUCAUUCUGGCCAUCCUUGGUGAGAUCCUAUUUGGCAUUAAGUUGUCGGGUAGGGGAUAACCAUCGUUUACUGUGAAAAAUUAGAGUGUUUAAAGCAGGCAGUCGCUCUUGCAUGGAUUAGCAUGGGAUAAUGAAAUAGGACUCUGGUGCUAUUUUGUUGGUUUCGAACACCGGAGUAAUGAUUAACAGGGACAGUCAGGGGCACUCGUAUUCCGCCGAGAGAGGUGAAAUUCUCAGACCAGCGGAAGACGAACCACUGCGAAAGCAUUUGCCAGGGAUGUUUUCACUGAUCAAGAACGAAAGUUAAGCACG